rnacentral:rRNA from 1 species
AUUGAACGCUGGCGGCAUGCUUUACACAUGCAAGUCGAACGGUAGCGCGGGGGCAACCCUGGCGACGAGUGGCGAACGGGUGAGUAAUACAUCGGAACGUGUCCUGGAGUGGGGGAUAGCUCGGCGAAAGCCGGAUUAAUACCGCAUACGCUCUGCGGAGGAAAGCGGGGGACCUUCGGGCCUCGCGCUGCGGGAGCGGCCGAUGUCGGAUUAGCUAGUUGGUGGGGUAAAGGCCCACCAAGGCGACGAUCCGUAGCUGGUCUGAGAGGAUGAUCAGCCACACUGGGACUGAGACACGGCCCAGACUCCUACGGGAGGCAGCAGUGGGGAAUUUUGGACAAUGGGGGCAACCCUGAUCCAGCCAUGCCGCGUGAGUGAAGAAGGCCUUCGGGUUGUAAAGCUCUUUCGGACGGAACGAAACGGUUACGGUGAAUAAUCGUGACUAAUGACGGUACCGUAAGAAGAAGCACCGGCUAACUACGUGCCAGCCGCCGCAGUAA